GCCUGGGUGGCUCAGUCGUUAAGCGUCUGACUUCGGCUCAGGUCAUGAUCUCAUGGCUCGUGGGUUCGAGCCCCACAUCAGGCU
rnacentral:tRNA from 1 species